rnacentral:rRNA from 1 species
AGUGAACGCUGGCGGUAGGCCUAACACAUGCAAGUCGAACGGCAGCACAGUAAGAGCUUGCUCUUACGGGUGGCGAGUGGCGGACGGGUGAGGAAUACGUCGGAAUCUACUUUUUCGUGGGGGAUAACGUAGGGAAACUUACGCUAAUACCGCAUACGACCUACGGGUGAAAGCAGGGGAUCUUCGGACCUUGCGCGAUUGAAUGAGCCGAUGUCGGAUUAGCUAGUUGGCGGGGUAAAGGCCCACCAAGGCGACGAUCCGUAGCUGGUCUGAGAGGAUGAUCAGCCCCACUGGAACUGAGACACGGUCCAGACUCCUACGGGAGGCAGCAGUGGGGAAUAUUGGACAAUGGGCGCAAGCCUGAUCCAGCCAUACCGCGUGGGUGAAGAAGGCCUUCGGGUUGUAAAGCCCUUUUGUUGGGAAAGAAAAGCAGCAGGUUAAUACCCCGCUGUUCUGACGGUACCCAAAGAAUAAGCACCGGCUAACUUCGUG